rnacentral:rRNA from 1 species
AGUCGACGGUGAUGGGGGGCUUGCUCCUCUGAUCAGUGGCGAACGGGUGAGUAACACGUGAGUAACCUGCCCUUCACUCUGGGAUAACGCUGGGAAACCGGUGCUAAUACUGGAUAUGACCUACUCGGGCAUCCGAUGUGGGUGGAAAGAUUUAUUGGUGGAGGAUGGACUCGCGGCCUAUCAGCUUGUUGGUGAGGUAAUGGCUCACCAAGGCGACGACGGGUAGCCGGCCUGAGAGGGCGAUCGGCCACACUGGGACUGAGACACGGCCCAGACUCCUACGGGAGGCAGCAGUGGGGAAUAUUGCACAAUGGGCGAAAGCCUGAUGCAGCGACGCCGCGUGAGGGAUGAAGGCCUUCGGGUUGUAAACCUCUUUCAGCAGGGAAGAAGCGUCUGGGUUUUCUCAGGUGUGACGGUACCUGCAGAAGAAGCACCGGCUAACUACGUGCCAGCAGCCGCGGUAAUACGUAGGGUGCAAGCGUUGUCCGGAAUUAUUGGGCGUAAAGAGCUUGUAGGCGGUUUGUCGCGUCUGCUGUGAAAUUUCGGGGCUCAACCCCGAACUUGCAGUGGGUACGGGCAGACUAGAGUGUGGUAGGGGAGACUGGAAUUCCUGGUGUAGCGGUGAAAUGCGCAGAUAUCAGGAGGAACACCGAUGGCGAAGGCAGGUCUCUGGGCCACUACUGACGCUGAGAAGCGAAAGCAUGGGGAGCGAACAGGAUUAGAUACCCUGGUAGAAUCACUAGUGAAUUC